AAUUGAUUGUUACUGAUAAGGCUGCAUCUCUUGGCUGCAAGGGAAGAACACAAAUUUAUACAGCGGUCCCAUCACAGACUUUGCAAUUGAUUUGUGUGUUCGGUCAUAGCCACUUCAACUCUGACCCAUCUGCAUUGCAAACCUCUUGCCUGCGGAGUUUCCAGACUAGCUCAGUUGCCUACAGCAUACUAAUUCCUCUGCAGCAUGAGGAUAUCUUCAUGAGAAGAGACAACAGCAAUGAAAAAUAAAGUGACUCAGAGGGUUAUGAACUUGCAGAAGACCACGCAGUCACUAUCUCUGCACAGAUGGUGAUGGUGGCACUCUCCUUAGUUCCAACAGCUGCCCAAAUCUCUGCACCUUUAGAAGACUAGAGGAAACACAGCACCAUUCCUCUCAGCCUUUUGUAGUACCUACACAAUUACUGAAGUGCAAAGCCAGGCAGAAAGAAGUUUCCUGCUACUUUCAGGCAGGCUUAGCAAGGCAGCCUCCUGCAGACAAGUUUACAAACAGCCUCUGUCUGUUCCCACACUUGCUUUUUGAGGAGUUAGAACAUAUCACACAUGUCACACUUCAACAAGAAGGUGAGAGCCACCGGGAGGCUGAGACACAGCCACCUAAUUAACACUGCUGCACAUGCACAAGGCUCGCUGCAGAAAUUUGAUAAUACCAAUAAAAGAGUGCUGCCAGCUUGUGACUGCAGAGCAGAAGCGAUAUGUACAGUUAGAACGGAUUCCUUACAGACACAAUAAACCGAUAUGGCAUCGGAACCUCCAAGAUAAAGCUCCAGAACUGUCUGCUCCUCCUGACUUGGAAAACAUGCCAACAGGACAGGCCGUACUGAAGCCUUACUCUGCUUCCUAUCAGGAUGACAAAAAUCUCAGGAGUACUCGCUGUACUCAAUGCAGCUACACCAAAAGCCCUCGUAAGAAAACAAGGCUGACAUCAGCUAUUGAUCAGCAGCACGCCGGAGAGCCACAAGUUUCUGCCACCACAGCCAUCUGUGCUGCAAGAGAACAGAGGAAGGAUCUUGGAGGAAUCCAGUUUCCAGGAUGGACAGCUGAUACAAAACCCUCCCAGAUACCCUCUAACCAUCUGCGUUCGAGCUUGCUAGCGCUUACAGAGCUCAGCUGACAGAAGAACACUGAAGCAUGUCUGGCAAAGAUGGAAAGCAUUAAAAAAAAAACUUUGCUUUUUUUUUUAGAGCUUCUAUCAAAAAUCACAAUGCCCUUUCUUCCCCACUACGAUUCAAAGAGCCAAAGAGGCUGUGUCUAAAUGGAUUAAGCAGGCAGACCUCGUUAACUAACUUAUCGGGCAUUUCUUGGACUAGUUUAAUUUGGUUUUGGUGCUUGCACAGGGAAGAAAAUUCUGAAAGCAAGUCUACUAGCCAAGGGAAGCAAACACUCUCCUUUACAGAGUUGUGCCUGGAAAGAUUCAUAUCAGAAGUAAGGUUUAUUGUUCCCUCCCCCCCCACGCCCCGAAGGGAGAAGGAAGGCUACUUCACUGAAGUUCUUUAGGAAAUGUUUCCAGGAAAUCAAUAAGUCAAAGCCACACCUCUCCCACACGAUACACCGCACAACCAGAGGUUACAGGCCUGCUGAUAUCACGUAGGAUAUUUAGGCCUGCAUUAGGGAGAAGGGAACUUCGCUAUGGAAAGGGUGGGAACUCAGGGCACUACAAGGGAAAAAGCCAAGCUUUACGUCAUAGGAUUACUUGAAACUCACUCCAGGAAGCAUACAGAAGCGUGUCAGUGUGCUGUGCUUUCAGCCAGAUGUUUAAAUGCAGAGGGAGAUGUUUAGAGACCAUCCAGAUGAAAAUGUACGUAGGGAAAGAGCUUGAAGCGCUGUUUCUUGACAAGAACAACUGCGGGAUUAAGGUUUUGUAAAGCACUGGAGGACAGCCUGAGGUCACAGCAGCUACCCCAGUACAGGAAUCUGAAAGGGGAACAAUGAAAGAGCUUCAAGCAUUACUGCACAGCCCAGUAUCCUGUCUUCUACUGAGCACCUUUUAUAUAAAUAUAUAAAUAUAUUUUUAUAUAAAUAUAUAUUUAUAUAAAAGGUGCUCAUUUUUUCAGCAAAAAGCAUUAAGCCUAGAUUGCUACUUUCAGCUCUCCAAAGAAUUACACAAAUACAAA
rnacentral:lncRNA from 1 species